rnacentral:rRNA from 1 species
GACGAACGCUGGCGGCGUGCCUAAUACAUGCAAGUCGAGCGGACCAAAGGGAGCUUGCUCCUGGAGGUUAGCGGCGAACGGGUGAGUAACACGUGGGCAACCUGCCUGUAAGACUGGGAUAACAUCGAGAAAUCGGUGCUAAUACCGGAUAAUAAAAAGAACUGCAUGGUUCUUUUUUGAAAGAUGGUUUCGGCUAUCACUUACAGAUGGGCCCGCGGCGCAUUAGCUAGUUGGUGAGGUAACGGCUCACCAAGGCGACGAUGCGUAGCCGACCUGAGAGGUGAUUGGCCACACUGGGACUGAGACACGGCCCAGACUCCUACGGGAGGCAGCAGUAGGGAAUCUUCCGCAAUGGACGAAAGUCUGACGGAGCAACGCCGCGUGAGUGAUGAAGGUUUUCGGAUCGUAAAACUCUGUUGUUAGGGAAGAACAAGUGCCGUUCGAAAGGGCGGCACCUUGACGGUAUCUGACCAGAAAGCCACGGCUAACUACGUGCCAGCAG